rnacentral:snRNA from 1 species
GGAUGUGAGGGCGAUCUGGCUGUGACAUCUGUCACCCCAUUGAUCACCAGGGUUGAUUCAGCUGAUCUGACUGGGUGUCCCCUUCUUCCCUUACUGCUCCAUGUGCGUCCCUCCUGAAACUUCACGCUCAGUCGAAGAGGAUGACCAACUCCAAUAGAGGAGGACCGUUUCCUCGGUCAAGGGUAUGCAAGUAGCUGCACUCCCCUGAUAGAACCUCCAAACAAGUUCUCAAGAUUCUACAUACAAAUGAGAUCAUACAGUAUCUGUCUUACUCU